UAGAAAUCCAUUGCCUUGCACAGGCCCCUAAUGGAUCCUAUGAGCAGUAGGAGGGGGUUAUGACUAGAGAAGAUGCAGACAUAGGCCUGUCCCUGCAAGUUAGUUCCCUGAGCUGGAGCUGACUCUUCCCAGGAUGACUGAGAGUGGAAACAACCAGUCCCCCAGGGAAGGCCCAACCCUGACUUUUUAUCUCCACUGAAAAAUGAUAUCAGAAUACAUAGGUGUGGCCAGGUGCUCAUGUCUGUAAUCCCAGCACUUUGGGAGGCUGAGGCGGGUGGAUUGCUUCGAGCCCAGACAACAUGCUGAAACCCCAUCUCUGCAAAAAAUACAAAACUUAGCUGGGCGUGGUGGCCUGCACCUGUAGUCCCAGCUGGGAGCUUGUGAAACCUAAUGCCAAAAUCAGUGUUUGUGUACUGGAUUCACCAGGGGAGAAAAUGUUGAAUCAGAUUCUCAGCCUGCCUGAGCCUCCUACCUUUUGUAUUCUUCAUGUAUCAUAAUAUUUAAUAAAAGGGAAA
rnacentral:lncRNA from 10 species